AGCGUAGGCGGAAGUGCAAGUUAGAAGUGUAAUCUAUAGGCUCAACCUGUAGCUUGCUUUUAAUACUGCUCUUCUUGAGUAUGGAAGAGGGAGAUGGAAUUCCAGGUGUAGCGGUGGAAUGCGUAGAUAUCUGGAAGAACACCAGUAGCGAAGGCGGUCUCCUGGUCCAAUACUGACGCUGAGGCUCGAAAGCUAGGGGAGCAAACAGGAUUAGAUACCCUGGUAGUCC
rnacentral:rRNA from 1 species